AGCGAACGCUGGCGGCAGGCUUAACACAUGCAAGUCGAGCGGGCAUCCUUGUGGUGUCAGCGGCAGACGGGUGAGUAACGCGUGGGAACGUGCCCUUCGGUUCGGAAUAACUCAGGGAAACUUGAGCUAAUACCGGAUACGUGCGAGAGCAGAAAGGUUUAUCUGCCGAAGGAUCGGCCCGCGUCUGAUUAGCUAGUUGGUGAGGUUACGGCUCACCAAGGCGACGAUCAGUAGCUGGUCUGAGAGGAUGAUCAGCCACACUGGGACUGAGACACGGCCCAGACUCCUACGGGAGGCAGCAGUGGGGAAUAUUGGACCAUGGGGGCAACCCUGAUCCAGCCAUGCCGCGUGAGUGAUGACGGCCUUAGGGUUGUAAAGCUCUUUUCUCCGGGACGAUAAUGACGGUACCGGAGGAAUAAGCCCCGGCUAACUUCGUG
rnacentral:rRNA from 1 species